GACGAACGCUGGCGGCGUGCUUAACACAUGCAAGUCGAACGGAAAGGCCCUGCUUUUGUGGGGUGCUCGAGUGGCGAACGGGUGAGUAACACGUGAGUAACCUGCCCUUGACUUUGGGAUAACUUCAGGAAACUGGGGCUAAUACCGGAUAGGAGCUCCUGCUGCAUGGUGGGGGUUGGAAAGUUUCGGCGGUUGGGGAUGUACUCGCGGCUUAUCAGCUUGUUGGUGGGGUAGUGGCUUACCAAGGCUUUGACGGGUAGCCGGCCUGAGAGGGUAGCCGGCCACAGUAGGACUGGGAUACGGCCCAGACUCCUACGGGAGGCAGCAGAGGGGAAUAUUGCACAAUGGGCGGAAGCCUGAUGCAGCAACGCAGCGUGCGGGAUGACGGCCUUCGGGUUGUAAACCGCUUUCGCCUGUGACGAAGCGUGAGUGACGGUAAUGGGUAAAGAAGCACCGGCUAACUACGUG
rnacentral:rRNA from 1 species